GGGGACCCGCACAAGCGGUGGAGUAUGUGGCUUAAUUCGAUGCAACGCGAAGAACCUUACCUAGGCUUGACAUGCAUCUCUAAGCGCGUGAAAGCGCGUGACCCUUCGGGGAAUUUGCACAGGUGCUGCAUGGCCGUCGUCAGCUCGUGUCGUGAGAUGUUGGGUUAAGUCCCGCAACGAGCGCAACCCUUGUGAUUAGUUGCCAGCACGUAAUGGUGGGGACUCUAAUCAGACUGCCCAGAUCAACUGGGAGGAAGGUGGGGACGACGUCAGGUCAGUAUGGCCCUUACGCCUAGGGCUGCACACGUACUACAAUGCCCAGUACAAUUAGAACCGAUACCGCGAGGUGGAGGAAAUCUGUAAAACUGGGCCCAGUUCGGAUUGGAGGCUGCAACUCGCCUCCAUGAAGUUGGAAUCGCUAGUAAUGGGGCAUCAUCUACGGCCCCGUGAAUACGUUCCCGGGUCUUGUACACACCGCCCGUCACAUCAUGGAAGUUGGCCACGCCCGAAGCCGUUACUCCAACCCUUGUGGAGGAGGACGUCGAAGGUGGGGCUGAUGACUGGGGUGAAGUCGUAACAAGGUAACCAAGGGCGAA
rnacentral:rRNA from 1 species